GUCGAGCUGGUGUACCUAGCGCUAAGAGCCACAUUGGUAGACUGGAGUGUUUGCUCUUUUCCCACUCAAAACAACACCCGAGGACUGUAUGGAAGAAGGUGUUAAAAGUAUCCAUAAUAGCGCUGAAUUUCUGAAGAAAGAUGCGAUCUUGUAGAAAAGUUGUUUGCGAAUGGACAUGGCGGGGUUUGUAUAAUAAUUAUUGCUGUGAUUGCUUGCAGUAAAGCUUUGGAAUCCCGUCAAGGCUCUGUGCCGAUCUCUUUCAUUUUCUGCACGUCUUAGCCACUGGGUGACUGGACCUGUGGGUAUCAGUAGACUGAACGGACAAGUGCCAAUAAACGAAACAAUGAAGCGGCACAUGUACUUGUACUACUACUACGUUGUUCUUGCUCGGGUGCAGUUCGCUCCGCAUCUACUCCGCCGGAGUAGAUAGUUCUGCAUCACAUGACGUCCUGUGGAGGUGAAGUACGCGGCACUUCGUCAACGCGGAGUGAGUUGAUGAAGCGGUUUUCGGAACCGGCGAGCACUAGCGCAAGCAGGCGCUGGCACGGCGAUGGGUGAACCAACCGAGCAAGAGCUGAACUAGCCCAGCGGAUGCCGGAUGGCAUCAGCGAACUGCGAAGGAAAGUUCCCGAACGGACUGAGGGACAGAACGACGACUGUUACCGUUGUACCUGCCCUGCGCUGUUCGACUGGCAUUGAACGAGAACAGGAAUGGGGAACCGGUUCAAAUCGUACAGGUCACCGGUCAACUCAGUGCAAGGCCACCCGCAAGUGUAAUGUGUGUUCUCGCAUGGGGCACCAUCAUGUCACGAUCUGCUCUGAAUCCCAACAGAAAUCUGACAGCAGUGCCAACAUAGUAGCUGAUCAGCCUGUGGCUGACGAGGUACCAGCAUCCAUGCCAUUGGAGGGUGCGCUAUGCACGUACCCUGUACCCUGUUUUUUUGUUGGCUUUUGGUACCGCCUCUGUAACUAAUACUACUGCAUAGGGUGCAAGGUGACCGUUGUCGGUUUUAUUGUACUCCAUUUAUUAUUACGCCGUGCAUGCACUGAGUCUGUGCUGUACUGUGCAUCCAUAGGUGCCCGUUUGCGGUAUCGCAAGGUGACACGCAAGGUUCAUGUAUUGUGUUGUCCGCUGCUAUUUGAAGCUCUCGGAGUCGGAAGCGUUACCUCUGUUUCUCCUGUUCCUCCCUGCGCGGAGUCUGUAGAUCUGGCUUGCAGUUGCUGUUACAUGUACAUGCAUGUACAUGCAUGUUGGCAAUUGCAUGUGUUUUGGUUUUCAGUUGACACUCGGCUUCCAGCCCAGUGUCACGUGAACCC